AGCAAUUUGGAUGUCUGCAUAAAAGCAGACUUGUUUUUUUUUCUCUCCACUUCUGGCUCCUGGAAAUAAUAUUCUCUUAACCUUUUGGAAUUAAACCAGCCAAAUAGAGUGUAACAUGUUUCUUAAUCAUUUGGGCCACCUUCUCCUUUCUGAAUGGAUGUUGGUUUCAGUGGGAAUGUUUUCUGUGGUUGUGGAUCAUUGAGAAGAUGGUGCUGAUUUGCUCUGGUAAGCUGAAGGAACAACCAGGCACGUGGCAUGAAGUGAAAUAAGGACAAAUGCAAGAGACAUCCUGGAGACAGGCAACUGAGGACAAAGAAAGUCUGUGGGGAAAGGGUGGUGAACCAGGUGCCCACCUGCCAGCAUUAUUGCUGAGGCACAUCUCAGCCAGGUUUGAGGUGAAGGCCAAAAUAGAAAUUGCCAUCAAGCUCCAGAUGAUCCUCAGUGAGGGAUACCGCUCUCUCAGUAUUCAAGAGUCACCCUUCCACAGAGAAGCCCUAGACUGCCCAUCAGUGGAAUAUGAGAGAGAGCCAGAGCCUUCAGACCAAGACAAUCGAACAUCCCUGGAUAUCUGAGAUAGCCAGCCUUUCUUCUGGAGAGCUUCCCAGUGGAGGAAAUGUCUCUCUUCCUAUGGAUGCCCAGCCUCUGCCCUUGUCUUCUGGACCCCACCUCCUUUCUACCACACAAGUUGGCAUGAUGACAACGUAUUUGGCCCUGGCAAUAGAUUAUGGCUGGUACAAACCAGUUCUCAGGAUAUCUUACAACUAGAGGCAGCCUUAAGACCCUGUUUUGUCGAGAAUACCUACUUGGAAGUCUAGUCAAAAGGAUUCUUGGUUGAAAAUAGAAGAAAUAGACUUUGGAUAAAUUAAGUGUAAAGGAAAUGCGUUGGAAGUGUGAUAACUCACAGCAUCAGGUGAAUGGCUGAAAUUGGGUUUGGGCAGUAAACUUGGCAGGUAAGGUAUUGCCAACACUCCCACAGGAUCAUUCUUCUUAGCAGGGUGCUACCACCAGAUGGACACUUGCCACUGUCUCCUCUGGCAUAGCCAUCUCUGGACCCCUUACCCCCACAUAGUGGGGGACUCUGCUGUGUUUAGGCUGUAAGCCUCAGGCCAGUGGAACUUUCAUUUCUUUUCUGCUCUCAUGAGCAAAAUUCUAAUUGGAUCUCUAAUGAUGCGUCCCCUCCUCAAGGGAUGGAUGCCUUGUUGGGAGCCUCUGGUCUGCUGUGUCCCACAUUCUACAUGCCAGAGUGGAGAAAGGCCUUAACUAUUCAACAUGUAUAAGUGCUGAUGUCAUUUCUAUUAGGUUCCUGUCUGUUUAUUUCAUGUCACUGUCACACAAUGUUUUUGAGUAUCGUUCCCCUGACUAAAUUUUUCCUGUAUCUAUAUAGAUUUUAUUAUACAAUUUUGUAUCACACUGUGCUUUUUAGGAAUGUUUAUUUCACAUUACAGUACCAUUGGUCACAUUAUAAUUAUUCUGUCCCCUGUGUUCUCAGAG
rnacentral:lncRNA from 1 species